GACGAACGCUGGCGGCGUGCCUAAUACAUGCAAGUCGAGCGAACAGAGAAGGAGCUUGCUCCUUUGACGUUAGCGGCGGACGGGUGAGUAACACGUGGGCAACCUACCUUAUAGUUUGGGAUAACUCCGGGAAACCGGGGCUAAUACCGAAUAAUCUGUUUCACCUCAUGGUGAAAUAUUGAAAGACGGUUUCGGCUGUCGCUAUAGGAUGGGCCCGCGGCGCAUUAGCUAGUUGGUGAGGUAACGGCUCACCAAGGCGACGAUGCGUAGCCGACCUGAGAGGGUGAUCGGCCACACUGGGACUGAGACACGGCCCAGACUCCUACGGGAGGCAGCAGUAGGGAAUCUUCCACAAUGGGCGAAAGCCUGAUGGAGCAACGCCGCGUGAGUGAAGAAGGAUUUCGGUUCGUAAAACUCUGUUGUAGGGAAGAACAAGUACAGUAGUAACUGGCUGUACCUUGACGGUACCUUAUUAGAAAGCCACGGCUAACUACGUGCCAGCCGCCGCAGUAA
rnacentral:rRNA from 1 species